GCUUGUUCCCUGCUGCUGGCUCUGCCCGGCAGCUGUUUGCUGCCGCCGCGAAUGUGAAGGUUAUUGUGAGAAACUACAGACUAGGGUAUUGUUUAUUAAGAUAAGGUUAGGGAACGGAGGAUAUGCAAACAGCCAACGGACACAGCUUAUGCAAGGAUUGAGAAGGACUUUUAAGGAUGUCAACACCAACAUCUCCAGUCAAUGGGCACCUUCUCCUGAGACUCAACUGUCUGGACUUUGAAACUUGAGCAUUCUUUUAAUUGUUGUUUGGGUUUUUGUAUUGUAAGCUUUGUUUUAGAGAUUUAAUAGAGGUAGAUGUUUUGCAGGUAAAGGAUCUCCUUGAUCAUUCCACAUCAGCAUCUGAUUGAUAACUGGCAAAUUGAUAAGGGAACCUCUUGAGAUGUGUUUGCUCUCUCUUUUGCAAGGGCCCUGCAGAAGAAUUGCAAAUGCAGGGUUUUUAAAAUGUAUUUAUACUAAAAGGGUGAUAUGUGGCAGGCACAUUUUACUCUCUCAGGACUUUUCAUAGCAGUUCACAGAGAGAAGAAAGAGAAAACAAUUUCUAUUUCUGCUCCUCGUUUUUCCCGUGUGGAAUGUGUUUGGAGAAUUGUUUACCUGGGGUGAUUGCUUGAUUGGAUUCUGGUGAGGACUGUUUCAGCCUGAUGGCCAAUCCAAUCCACUGGUGUCUGGACUCACAAGAAGAGGGUCAUGAGUUGUGAGUUAGAUUUGGUAGUUAGAAAAAGCAGGUAUGUAGUUUUAGUAUCUCCUUUAAAUAGUAUAUUAAUGUAUUAUAGUACAGUUAUAAUAAAGAAAUCAUUCAGCCUUCUGAACUGAAGUCAGACAUCAUCAUUGCUUCCCACUGGCUUCACCUGCAUUUACAAUAAGUGGUGAAUGAAUCUGAGAUGCUGUCCCUUGAGCCAAAGAGUCCAAAGUCAUAGAAUCAUAGAAUAUCCUGAACCGGAUGCCACCCAUAAGGAUCAUCAAAUUCCAAGUCCUGGCCCAGCUUUCACAGCUGCAAGAGAGUCAUGCAGGACCUAACCUGGAGACUAGCCACAUGACCAGUCCCUGCCCAUUUAAGUGGUACUUAGCAGAGCAAGGUACCAGUAGUAGACCCUGCUUACAACAGGCCAGACAGCAAAACUGAUUCACAUUUUGACACUAAAAUGCAGCUUAUCUAUUCUGUGACUGCAGUGGAUAACCCAGGCAUUUCACUUCCACUGCUGUAACUGUACUGCUGUACUACUGUAACAGUAACAAAAUAGCAAUUCAUUCUGAACACAGUCCUUUCCACAGGAAUACAAAGAUGCCUUGAUUACACAGUGGUACAGCAUUUGGAUUCUAGUCUAAUUCAUGUCCUGUUCAUGUAAAAUGAGAAUACAGUCUUUUGAAGGCGCUGUAAUUAUGUCUGGUCAAACUGCUAGAACAAGAAAAUCAAGUCAUUAUGAGUACAGGCUGGACUCUGGCUAAACACUCAGCAAGCACUGACCAGAGCAGAUUCACUGCCCUGCUGUAUUUACAAAACAGCAGAGAAGAUAUCGUUAAAUUCAAGUGAAGCUAAUUCAGAAUAGUUAGGAGGUCAUAUGCUAUGCUGGUGCCAUUGUCUAGGGGAUAAACUGUAAUUGUAAAAUUUAUUUUUCUAAUUUCAAAUAGUUAGGGUAAGAUUGGAAGGAUAGAAUAAACAUCCAUGUAGCAUCAUGCAUACCAUGUAUGACAUUCCAUAACUACUGUUAUGCUAACAAACUUAUGGUAUAUAUAUUCCAGGAAAAAAACAUUACAUGAAUUGUACUAUGGCAUAAUGCAAAAUAAAGAGGGUCAGGGAUGUUACUGAAAACUAUUAAAGCUUCCUUCCAAGUAGAAAUCUAUGGACCUACAGAUCUUUCACGUUUAGAAUAGAGCCUAGAUGUGAUUCUUUUCUUCCUGAAAACCACUUUACAUGAUAGGAAUUAGCUAACAGUUACUCCUGAGUAAGAGAAGAGAAAGAGAAAGAAAAGUCAGAGUUUGGACACUUGAGUGAAUGCUAUGAGAUCCUCUGAUCCUCUCAAAGAGCUCACCUGAAGCAUUCAGAGAACAAACCACACCCAUUUCAUGAUAUGUGUGGGUGCAAAUGUUCAUUCUUACUGCAUGAGUCCCUGUGUGCCCAAAAAAGGACACUUCAGAGGCUUCCAUCUUAGUGAACUGAUUUUAAAGCACUCCCAUAACAAAACCUUUACUGAUUUUAGUGGUGUCCUGGCUUGUAAGAUAAGCAUGUAUUCUAUUUGCCAUCUGUUGGAGGUGGAGCUGGUAUCUUCUUCUGUUAAGUUGGGCAGUGUUCUCAUCUCUUCCAAGAACAAUGUCUCCCUCUGGGGAGAUCUCUUCUGUUAAUGGGCCAUUGAAUGACUCACUGCAUGACUGGUAAAGUUACAUCAUCCCAUUGUGAGAUGCUCCACCCAGAGGGAGGAGCCAAGCAUCCCUACCUGCAUAAAAUUAGCAUUUUUGGCACAUCAGAACAGCCUCUUCACUGGAUUCCCAGAGGAGCAGCAUCUUCUCUGCUGGAUUCCCAGAGGGGCAGCUUCUUCCCCGCUGAAUCCCCAGACGAAAACCAGGCCCAUCUACUCUAUCACCAGACCUUCAGAGAAAACUCCACCCUUCUACAGAUCACCCCUUCAGCAGCAUUCCAUCUGCCACUCCAGGAGGAGCAGCCACCAUUUAACUGGACUAUUACCAACACCCUGACUACUCAGGGCGUCAGGUUUCUGACUCCAUCACUAGUUUUGUUUGUACUAAUUACUUUUUUUAAUUUUGUUUUUUUCCUAGUAAAGAACUGUUAUUCCCAUUCCCA